GACGGAGGGUGCUAGCGUUGUUCGGAAUCACUGGGCGUAAAGGGCGCGUAGGCGGCCUUGCAAGUCGGUUGGUGAAAGCCCGGGGCUCAACCCCGGAGGUGCGGCCGAGACUGCGAGGCUGGAGGCCGGAAGAGGAGGGUGGAAUACCCAGUGUAGAGGUGAAAUUCGUAGAUAUUGGGUGGAACACCGGUGGCGAAAGCGGCUCUCUGGUCCGGACCUGACGCUGAGGCGCGAAAGCGUGGGGAGCAAACAGG
rnacentral:rRNA from 1 species